rnacentral:rRNA from 1 species
CACGGGGGGAGCAAGCGUUGUUCGGAAUCACUGGGCGUAAAGGGCGUGUAGGCGGUUCGGUAAGUGGAAUGUGAAAUCCCUCGGCUCACCCGAGGACCUGCAUCCCAAACUGCCGAGCUUGAGUAUGGGAGAGGAUGAGGGAAUUCCGUGGUGUAGCGGUGAAAUGCGUAGAUAUCAGGAGGAACACCGGUGGCGAAGGCGCUCAUCUGGCCCAAUACUGACGCUGAGGCGCGAAAGCUAGGGGAGCAAACGGG